AACGAACGCUGGCGGCAGGCCUCAAACAUGCAAGUCUAGGGGGUGUAGCAAUACAUCACCGGCGGACGGGUGCGUAACGCGUGGGAAUAUACCUAUUGGUUCGGAACAACUGAGGGAAACUUCAGCUAAUACCGGAUACGUCCUAACGGAGAAAGAUUUAUCGCCAAUAGAUUAGCCCGCGUUCGAUUAGCUAGUUGGUGGGGUAACGGCCCACCAAGGCGACGAUCGAUAGCUGUUCUGAGAGGAAGAUCAGCCACACUGGGACUGAGACACGGCCCAGACUCCUACGGGAGGCAGCAGUUGGGAAUCUUGGACAAUGGGGGAAACCCUGAUCCAGCCAUGCCGCGUGAGUGAUGAAGGCCUUGGGUUGUAAAACUCUUUCGCGCACGACGAUAAUGACGGUAGUGCGAGAAGAAGCUCCGGCUAACUUCGUAGCCAGCAGCCGCGGUAAU
rnacentral:rRNA from 1 species